rnacentral:rRNA from 1 species
UACGUAGGUGGCAAGCGUUGUCCGGAAUCACUGGGCGUAAAGCGCGCGCAGGCGGCGAUCUACGUCUGGGGUGAAAGCCCGGAGCUCAACUCCGGGACUGCCUUGGAUACGGGAUCGCUUGAGGAUUGGAGAGGCAAGGGGAAUUCCACGUGUAGCGGUGAAAUGCGUAGAGAUGUGGAGGAACACCUGUGGCGAAGGCGGCUUUCUGGUCUGUAACUGACGCUGAGGCGCGAAAGCGUGGGGAGCAAACAGG